GUCCCCGCCAGAAUGCGACUGCGGUGGGUCGAGGGCUUCUCCGGUGUCCGCUUUAACUGUGUCGCCGGCCCCCACCCCCCUCUCCUGGGGGCCUGCAGCUCCGCCUUCUGCAUUCAUCGCUUGGGCUCGGCCCUUAAUUGGCCUCCUCCUCCUCCAGGAAGCGCGCCCGGACUAACUGGACGGGCCGGCGCGCCUUCCCCGGGUUCGGCCCCGGCCCAGCUCCGCGGCUUCAGAUAUCAGGAGCUGAGGCAGAGACAGGUGCCUGGGUCUCCCGACCAGUGCUGCAUGGCUACUGGAAGAAGCAGGUACUUGGAACCCUCUCAUUCCCUCCCCUGGGGCCUCUGACUUCAUUGGCCUGUGAACAAAAAAGUCAAGCACUUGGAUCCCACAAGGCACCUCUGUCCAAAGCACUUCCAGCUCAGUUUAUCUUGUAUGCAACUUAGUUUGCCUACAAUUAGAAACUGGGGUGAGAACUGUAUAUAGAAAGAAUCUUACUAAAAACCAACACACUUCCUGGAACCUCCAGGUGCACUUCCCCCAGCCACACUUUUUGUUUUGUUUUGUUUUUUGAGGCCGGUCUUCCUUUGUAUUUCAGGCUGGCCCUGAACUCACUAUAUAGCCCAGACUGGCCUUGACCUCAAGUUGAUCCUCCUGCCUCAGCCUCCUGAGUGCUGGGAUUACAGGUUUACGACACCAUGCCCAGGGGCCGGGGAUUUAGCUCAGCGGUUCUGCCUCACAAGCACAAGGACCGGAGUUCAAUCCCCAGUACCAAAAAACAAUCAAACAAAGUAACUCCCUCUCUACUUCUCUUCAGAUUACUCAUACCUGGAGGAUCGCUGAGAGUUCAAGGCCAUCCUAGGCUACAUAGUGAAACCCUGUCUCAAAAAACCCCUCAAACAACAACAAUGACAAACACGCAAAAAUAAAUCACUCAAACCUGUCUUCCAGAAGUAGAAAGAGUAAAGGUAUGAAAGAAUGUUCAACAUCACUGGUCAUUUGAGAGAUGCAAAUUAAAAAACAAUGCCGAGAUUCCAUCUCACUCCAGAAAGAAUGGCUGUUAUCAAGAAAUCAACCAAUAACAAAUGCUGGCCUGGCUGUGGGGAAAAGGAACCCUUCUCCACUGUUGGUGGGAGUGCAGACUGGUACAACCACUGUGGAAAUUAGUGUGGAGAUUCCUCAAAAACCCCCCAAAACUAGAGGUUCCAUUUGACCCAGCUAUUCCCCUUCUUGUUAUCUUCCUGAAAAAAUUAAAAGCAUCAUACCAUAAUGAUAUAUGCACACCUAUGUUUAUAGCAGCACAAUUUGUAAUAGCUAAAUCUUAGAAACAGCCCAAAUGCCCAUCAACUGAUGAAUGGAUAAAGAAGAUGUGGUUUUUUUCUAUAUAAUGGAGUAUUACUGUGGCAUAAAGAAGGAUGAGUUUGAGACAUUUCUAGGUAAAUGGAUGCACCUCGAGACCAUACUUUUAAAUGAAAUAAAUUGGACACACAUGUUUAAAUACUGCACUGUUUCUCUAGUGUGAGAAACUGAAAGUAGAAAUAAAGUCUAAAAUGUAUAAUAGAUAUUGGAAAAUAGGAAGAAAAUGUUCAAAUGAGAAAGGGAACAAGGGAAAAGGGAAGGAAGGAAGGGACAAGAAAAAAGAGAAAAUAGAAGGAAAAACUGGAAACAAAGCUUUUUUUUUUUUGGUACUGUGGAUCAGACUCAGGACCUUGUGCUUGAGAGGAAGGCGGCAGCACCACUGAGCUAAAUCCCCAGCCCACAAAGCUUUUGUAAAUAAGGAAGAAAAGGGGUUGAAGGGAGGGGCAAAUGGGAAAAAAAGAAGCAAGAUGUAUCAUGUACACGUACAUAUUCCCUAUGAUGAAUGUUAUUAUGUAUAUCUAAAAUGUACCAAUAAAUGUUUUGCUUAAAAAAAAAACCCUGUCUUCCAUCCCUACCAUGUUGUGGAAACUACUCUCCAGGCC
rnacentral:lncRNA from 1 species